CAGUCGCCGCGGUAAUACGAAGGGUGCAAGCGUUAAUCGGAAUUACUGGGCGUAGAGCGUGCGCAGGCGGUUAUAUAAGACAGAUGUGAAAUCCCCGGGCUCAACCUGGGACCUGCAUUUGUGACUGUAUAGCUAGAGUACGGUAGAGGGGGAUGGAAUUCCGCGUGUAGCAGUGAAAUGCGUAGAUAUGCGGAGGAACACCGAUGGCGAAGGCAAUCCCCUGGACCUGUACUGACGCUUAUGCACGAAAGCGUGGGGAGCAAACAGGAUUAGAGACCCCCGUAGUCCCUGUCUCUUAUAC
rnacentral:rRNA from 1 species